UCGAGAAUCUUCCGCAAUGGGCGAAAGCCUGACGGAGCGACGCCGCGUGGAGGACGAAGGCCUUCGGGUUGUAAACUCCUGUCACGGAUUAAGAAUGUCGUGCGGUGAAUAGUCGUACGAUUGACGUAAGUCCGAGAGGAAGCACUGGCUAACUCUGUGCCAGCAGCCGCGGUAAUACAGAGAGUGCAAACGUUGUUCGGAAUUACUGGGCUUAAAGCGCACGUAGGCGGCGCCGCAAGUGUGGGGUGAA
rnacentral:rRNA from 1 species